GUUUCCCUACGGGGCGCAGCAGUAGGGAAUCUUCCACAAUGGGCGAAAGCCUGAUGGAGCAACGCCGCGUGUAGGAAGACGGUCCUCUGGAUUGUAAACUACUGUCCCCAGGGACGAAGAUGACGGUACCUGGGGAGGAAGCUCCGGCUAACUACGUGCCAGCAGCCGCGGUAAUACGUAGGGAGCGAGCGUUGUCCGGAAUUACUGGGUGUAAAGGGAGCGUAGGCGGGGAUGCAAGUUGGGUGUUAAAUCUACCGGCUCAACUGGUAGUCGCACUCAAAACUGCAGCUCUUGAGUGAAGUAGA
rnacentral:rRNA from 1 species